GAACCAACCCUCAUAUAACCCUCUCAUCUCUAUUAAGGUAGCGCGACUCAGGGUUGCGAAUGACCACAGUCACCAAUUCUUGUCAUGUGUCUUGCCCAUGUAUGUCUGAUCUCUGAAUUGUGUGUACUGAAACUAAUUUCCCUCUGAGGCUAAUAAAGUAUCUUUGAUUGAUUGAUUGAUUGAUUGAUUGAUUGAUUGAUUGAUUGAUUCAGAAAGAAGCUUUUAUGGAGAAAAAAACAAAAUGUAGUUUUUUUAUUUCAGACAAACGCAUUGGUUAUAACUCAGAUAAUUCAGAACAAAAUCUGAAAAUUAGUGAAUGAAGGGUAAAUAAUUAGUGCAAGAGCAGGAAGAAGAGGGAAGGAAUGGAUGUUCUCUAAAUCAGGAUCUGGAAUGUUUUUGGCAGAGGUGGGUCUGUUUUCUAAAUGAGUUUGUACACCAGCGCUGUCAACCAGGCGUCCCGCUAGUUUAUUGUCUCGCCUUCUCCUCGUUACAAGCUUGUUAUUGUUAGGCUCAUCAGCGAGGUCAGACUCUGAAAACACACAUUACAACACAGUCAAAAGAUCAUGUUGCACAAUUUAAAUAAAUACGAGGCAAUUUGUCAUUGUCGUCUCAGAGCUGCCCCUUUUCUGUGUCUGCCUCUCUCAUCUUCCUCCUUGUCCUCUUCCUCCCUGCCCCCACCUCUCUUCUCAUGCCCCAGCGCAGCAGCAGGAAGCACCAACGCCGAUUAUCCUAACCUCUCAGAGAAAACGCUGACCUUUGCUUCUGUUCAGCAGGAGGUAAAAGUAGAAGAAGACCAACAGGAAUUACGUUAAACUGCAGUUUAAUCACAACACAAACACUACGUCUUCUGCUUUGAAACGGUGGUAUUUCUACCGCAUGGCUGUACAGAAAACAAAAUGACUUGAUCUGAUGUCACACAUACUGAUCAAGGCAUUUGUGCUAAUUGGCAGAGGUGUGGACUCGAGUCACAUGACUUGGACACGAGUCAGACUCGAGUCAUCAUUUUAAUGAGUUCUGUGGAUUUGGAAAAAUCUAUAACAUAUUCUGAACAAGUAUAUAGUGGAAAAUCGAUGAUUUAUGUGGGUGUCCUUUAUUAUAAGGAAAAGUAAAUUGUAUCAAUUGUAAAAAGAUGUUUUUUUUUCUUUUUUUGUUUUUUUUUCCAUAUGGUUUGGUGUUUUUUUUUUUUGGUGACUUGUACCAUUUUGUUUGUUUUAAUGUAGGUUUUGUGUUAGAUUUAGUAAACAAGUAAAACUUACUUGUAUAAAGGGGUAGGGACAUAUAAGUUCCUACUUCAGCCUACUCCUUUUCAAACAGAGAAGAAGGGAUGAUGAUAUGUAUUUUUUCUGUUUGUGGUAUUUUUAAAAAAAAUUAUGUAUGUUUUCUUUGUUUGAAAUAAACUAAACUAAACUAUAAAGACUUACGACUUGACUCGGUCUUGAACGCCAGUGACUUGCGACUUGAAUCGACUUGCAUCUGUUGACUUGAUGAUGACUUGAGCAUAUUUGAUAUUUUAGCACAAAAGUGGCACGACAUGGACAAAAAUCAUAAAUCAUUCUUCGUUCUGGGUUUGAUUUACUGCUAACUGCAGCAGCUCUUUGUUUAUAAUCAGUUGCACUUCCUGCUUGUUUGAGCAAAUAAAUGAAGCUUUAAGAAGCUUUAUUUCUGGAAUUUAUUUAUUAUCAUUUUCAUUAAAUUCAAGUUUGACAGACGACUUGAUUAUGACUUGAAAAUUAAAAUUUAAGGACUUGGGACUUCAAUCAAUCAAUCAAUCAAUUUUAUUUGUAGAGCACCUUCCGCAACGUUAUCAGGAGCCCAAGGUGCUGAACAGCAUCAUCAUAAAAACAUUCCCAGUACCUGGGCAUAAAAGCAAGAUAAAAACAUAAAAUCAUAAAAUAACAAGCAAGCAAUAUUGCAAAUACAGAGAGAUAAUGGAAUAAGGCUAAUCAAUCAUAAACAAAUGGUGGACAAAAUAAGAUCAAGCAUCCUGGUCAAAAAGAAGAAGAAUUAAAAACCAUAAUGUCAGGGCAUUUCAAUGAACCCUAGCGCUGAAAAGCAAUCAAAUAAAAAUGAGUCUUCAGGCGAGACUUAAAGACUUGAAGGGAUGGUGCCUGCCUAGUGCUCAAUGGCAAUUCUUUCCACAGAGUUGGAGCCAAAAUAGAAAAAGCACGACAACCCCUCGAUCGAUAUUUCGACCGGGGGACCACCAGACGUCCCUGCUCGGCUGAGCGAAGAGACCGAGAUGGAGCAUACCUGUGCAAAAGUGCAGUAAUGUAAGAGGGGGCACUGCCCUGGAGGGCCUUAUAAACAAGAGCUAAGAUCUUAAAUUUAGCUCGAUAUUGCACCGGGAGCCAGUGCAGAGCAGCAGCACAGGAGUAAUGAGAUCUCGGCAUCUAGUACCUGUCAGGAACCUAGCCACAGAGUUCUGUACAAAUUGGAGCCGUGCAACCGUGCACUGGGCCAGACCGGCUUACAGAGCGUUACAGUAGUCCAGACGGGACAGGACGAAAGCAUGCAACACAGACUCCAGAUGAGCUCUGGACAGCAGAGGCCUGAUCCUGGAUGGACUUGACUUGGACUUCCACAUCAUUGACUUUGGACUCAACUUGAACUUGAUUGUCUUUGACUUGGACUUAACUGGAGACUUGACUGGAAAGACUUGUGACUUACUUGUGACUUGCAAAGCAGUGACUUGGUCACACCUCUGCUAAUUGGUGUCAGAUCAGUGUCCUGAUCUUUGUUGUUCACCUACUCUCUGUGGUUUUACAUCAGCUGUGCAUGUUAUAGAGCUCCGGGAGUUGACGUCACUUCUCCCGGCAUGCAACAGUUCAAAUCAAAACGGCGCCAUAUUGGCAGGCAGAAGCCUGCAGCUGGACUAUUUGUUAUUGUCAGAAAACUCAAUCAGACAGGAGAUAUGGUAGAUUCCUGUUGUGCCCCAGGAUGCAGAACAGACGCGGACGACAUAAGGAAUGAGCCAUCUACAGGAUUCCCCAAGAUCCGGAGCGCCGCAAACGUUGGAUCAUUGUAAUAAAACGCGCUAGUGACCGGGCUAAAAUGAAACUGUGGGACCCCGAGAGUAAAGGUUUUCACUUAUGCAGCGACCACUUCAUAUCAGGUACGUAAACCAACGUUUCCUCAACUGUGUAUGGUAUUUAUUUUAAAUGCUUUUAUUACAAUUCUUAGUGGGCUUCCUAAACUUAUUUUGGCGUGGCUUUUUCUGUCUUAUUACUCAUAGCAGCAAGUAAACGUCACGUAAAACGUUGCCUCGUGAGUUCUGCGUGCUGCCGUUUACGUGUUUUAUGAUCACAGCAAUUAACCGGCUAAGCUGUAUUUAAUUUAUAAGCAAUGGUUGAUCAAUUGUCAGAUCACACAUAAAAAGCACUUUGGAUUGCAAUUAUCUGUCUCACCGAGACGGAUCUCAGACAGAUCCUGAGACGCUCCUGCCCGGAAAUGAAGUUGCUAAUGCUAACGGUUAGCCUAAACUAGCCAAGACGUCCAGCAAUAACAAAGUGCCUAUAAACUGUCUCCCUACACUGUGAUCCUCCACAGAAACAGAUGAUGGCCUAUAGUUUGUGCUCCUAAGAGUAAAAUUAUGCAAGAAUUCUCUAGAAAACCUUGUGGAAUAUUCCCUUUGUGGAUGUUUGUUUUUGCAUUAACUCUUCUGUUUUGGUCUCCGCCUUCCCCCUUGUGAUUGGGUCCUGUUUCCUGGAUCUCAAGCUAAUCAUCAAUUAGCAGUUUAGUAGGUUUGUAUAUUUUGCUAUCUUGCUUGGGUAAGUUAAGCUUAUUUUCAUCUAGAGUUUUAUGUUUUUUUUACAUUAGCCUAAGCGUUCUCUGAAGCUAAACGCUAUGCAGAAAAGAGUUUAAAAAAGGCUGAAAAUAAACAUUUUAAAUAUCAUUUUGUCUCCUUAUUCACGAUCAAGAUGUAUAAACUGUUUAUCCUUUAGACCAGCCAGGGCUCAUGACAUAAACUAGUCUAAAAUUAAUCAGACAAGGAAUAUUUAUUUGGGACAGCCAAUCACACACACACACACACACACACACACACACACACACACACACACACACACACACACACACACACACACACACACAAAACGCUUUUCAAACCUACAAAAAAUGAAUCUCAUUGCAGUUUCUCUGCAUGAAAUUCUGAUUAUUUGAAAUAUUUUUUACAGUUGUGGUUAGUUACAUCUGUCCUGUUAUAAAGGGCAGUAACUCCCAUCUGAUCAGAGAUUUGUGCGGGUGACUGACAGUUUUUGACCCCAGAAACGUCAUUAUUUAUAUUCCUUUCACAAAAAAUGAUUAAUCUCCACUUCUGACUUUUCUUCACUGUGCCCCCCCAGGUUGUGGACACAGACACCUGCUGGGAUCCAGGAAGUGGACACACACCAGUGACCAUAGCCAUCACAGACAAUCACAGCGCACCGCCAGCACCUUGCAAGAUGAGUCAUGGAGAGCUGAGGUGGUGGGGGGUGCACUCGGCAGACAAAAUGGGAACUGGCGAUUCUGAUGAUUUACAUCAAAAACAGGCUCUUAGAAGGCUGUUUCCACCAGUACCUGAUUGUGAAGUGGACAUUGGUACCAUCUAGUGGAUGUUAAAGGAACUGCAUCAUCUCUGCUCCAAUAUGAAGCAGAAAAUAAAACAAAAAGAAUGAGAACCACUCUCAAGCUUGAUGACAUCAGAAAUGUUUGCUUCAAGGUACACUCACCAGCCAUUUUAUUAGGUACACUUGUUCAGUAAUCAGAUGGCAGCAGCUCGAUGCUUUUAGGCGUCUAGUCCUGGUGAAGACACCUAGCGGAAAUCCAUGCUGAAUGGGUGAAUAAGACUUAGAUGACUUUGAACAUAUCGUGUUUAUUGGUGCCAUGCACCAGAAAUGGACCAGAAGAGACUGGAAAAAAACUUCCCUUGUCUGAUGAGUCUGGAUUUAAGCUGUCCGUUCAAAAUCUGGUGUCACCAACAUGAAAGCAUGGAUCCACCCUGCCUUGUGUCAAUGCUUCAGCAUGGUGGUGGGGGUGUAAUAGUUUAGGGAAGAUGUGUGUUGUUGUCCUACUCUGGACCCCUUAGUCCCACCUGAGGCUGGCUUAAACGCCACACCACCUGAGUUUUGUCGCAGACCAUGUCCAUCCCUUUGUGACCAUAUGGACCCAUCUUCUGAUGGCUUCUUCCAGCAGGAUCAAGCACCGUGUCACAAAGUUCAGAUCACCUCUAACCAAUUUCUAGAACAUGAUCCAGAGUUCACUGGACUCUAGCGGCCACCACAGUCGCCAGAUCUCAGUCCAGUCCAGAAUUUUUGGGAUGUGGUUUGCAUUGAAUUGGAUUUAAGAAGAUCCUCGUGGAGAUGCAACUUCCUGUCAUGCAUUUGACUUCUGAAAUGUACAAGUCAUUUUCAAGUCACUUUUGUUGAACACCUGUGCAAUGACAAUAAAAAGAUCUUGAAUGCCACAUCUGUGAUUCGUGACCCGUUGUGAGGCCAUCGUGUCCGCUUUGCGAACUUUAUCAACUAAGAUUGACUUAAUGAGGAAAACUAAAGUUUUUUUAUUUUAUUUUUUUGCUACCUGAUGAUUUCUGUGGUUAUUUUUGAUAAAUGACGUCAUGUGGGUUAGUGGCAUCGUGGCAGAAGCACUUUAUUCUGUACACCUGUCACUGGUAGUUAUUAUUAAUGUAGCGACAUGAAUAGCUCGUUUGUGACCCAAAGGUCACACUUCCCCAGCUAGGUCGAGCUGGGUCGAGCUGUAACUUUUGUCCCACAGAUGAGCCAUCACAGAGCCGUAGUCUGCUAAAACCAUCUUUUAUCUGUCUGCUGCUCCGUCCCAAGAUGAAAGACACUUCAAGAUUUAAUAUAAUAAUUUUUAAUAAACACUUUUUACUGUUUAUUACAAGGUUUAUUAUAAUCAUCAUAAAUAAUCAUCAUGGUUCAUUAUAAAUGUAUUUCAUUACUGAAAUGAUCAAUUAUUCUUUGGGUUAAUAAUAAUUAUUAUUUAUGAUAAUCAGUAAUGUUUGACAGUGUGAAGAAGGUCAUUUGCACGUGUACACACCAUGCAGAGGGAACUGAAUCCAGGGUUUGCUCCAUAACAACACGCUUUCUGACGCUCAGAGGGCGUGUUCUGAGGUUUUUUUUUAAACCAAAAACUCUUCAGUUCAACUUCAGUUCUUGAACCAAGCAGAUACUCUCGUAGCAACGAGAGUACCAGAGGACGAGGGUCGGCCGCCCGAAGCCUCCUCCUGCUGCUCUGUCACGCCGAUAGAACAGCUCAGAGUAAACGCCACCUGUAACCAGCUGACCAAAACUCCUUCAGAGUUCUUGGUUUUGAGACGCAACUAGUUUCAUCAGUCAUUGGGACCCGGAGACAUCUCAGGACCGAUUUGGUCGCACUAAGGUCUUCUACCAUCCUCGUGCUUGGGGGUUCACCAUCUCCACCUGACACCUCGGAUCCACCAGAGGGUCUCCUGAACUGGGUGAGGUAGACACUUUCCGACAGAUGGCGUCUGUAUGCUGUUCUCUCUAAGAAACAUCAGUUAGUUGCAAAACAACUUUUCCACCUAGAUCGCGUUUCUCUCUCUGAAAGAAAUCUUCUGAGAUUCAUCCACGCAUCCAAACAUACGAAUUCCACUUUAGUUUCCAUUCAGACACAGGUUUGCUUUUAGUACCAAGUUUUAAUAUCAAAGCUGUUAUAAAUUGUCAUCUUUAAAUUGUUAGUAAUAAAUUCUUAACUUUUUAAACCUUACUUUUCUUUUAAAUGAAACACAGAAUGGUGUAUAUUUGGUUAUUGAAUAAGCAAAGAUUCCAUUAAGUCUUCUGGUUAAUAAAUAAACUUUUGCUAUAAAUUAAAUUAUCUUAAAUUAAAAAUUAAUCUUUGGAUUAAAUACAGACCAAGCCCGUUGGUGUAUGAACUUCUAUCGAUUGUGUAAAUAUCCAAGAUAUUUAUGCAUGAUAUAAGUUCAUAUGCUAAUGUGUCUGAUCUUUUCUCAGGAUCUAACAACGCUGAUAGCAAACAGCGUUAAAUCCUAGUAUGUAGAUUGUCUACGCUACAUUAACGACGCUAACACAAGUUCGGAAAGCAGCAACCUCCUUCAGUAAAAUAUUCCCCUUUCCCCUUCAUGUUUCAUCUCUCAGUAUAAACAGAAAAAGCUUUGCCAACUUGUUUCUCAUCUUACUAAUGUUCAUGAUAUGCAAACAACUCGCCUCUGAUUAGCAACGCAACUCUUCCACUGCCUUCGUUUGCUCUUCAUUAUUUGUUAAAAAAUGCACCAAUGAUGUUUUAUCUCUGCAAAUAACACAUCCCUGAACAUGUCCAACUAUGUUGUAGAAUUGCUAAUGCUAACAAGUAGCUUCUACUAGCCAAGAUGUGCUCUGCUCUCUCCUGGGGCCAUGAAUGAUCAUUUUCGCAGUGACGUAGAAGAUUGGCGUUUUCAGACCCGAGUGUUUCCUUUCUGCGACUAAUGCAGGAAAGAGAGGUUGAAGAAUACUUUCACGUUCAGCAUGCAUAUGUAACUCAGAGUGACUGAUUGUAAUGCAAGAACCAGCACGUAAUCUAAAUAAAGGAGAUAAAAUUAGAAAUGUAAUGCAUAAUUCAGAAUAUAUGAUGUGCUACGUUGGCUAAAUUAGUUAAAAAUGGCUUAUUUUUAUGGAGCUAGGAUUGGGGCAAUAUUACAUGUAACUUGUACCAAGUUUUGUAACUUGUAAUAUGUUUGUAACUGCAACUCAUUCAUUUCGUAGCAUGUAAUUCACCUUUUGUAACAUGUAACUUUCAUUUUUUUAGCUUUUAAUUCACAUUUUGUAACAUUUUGGAGAAGUCCAACAAGGUGAGCAACCUGCUCUGCCAGUGGGCAAAGGUCAUCACACAUUAAGGGUCCAGCAGGUUUCUUCUGCCAGGAAUAUUGUGUUCUUCCUUAUACCAAAUCAAUUCCCCGUUUACCUUCGCUAGCUGCGCCAUCUGGAUAACCAGUCACAGCAACCUCUCCUGCUUUGUUGCCUGCAAACUCUCAAGGCCUCUGUCGUGGUCUGCGACCUGUGUUUCCCUCAUGUGUCUCCUUGUGUUCCCCAGGCAACUCCAGGUUUUCCCCCUUAGGUGUUCCCCCCAGGUUUCAGCGUCCCUGUGUGUCCCCAACCCCCUCCAGACUCUUUAGGUUUCCCUCACGUUUUUCCUUAGACACCUUUUAUCAUUAGUCUUCUGUUAAGUGUUUUAUCUAGUCUGCUUUCUCCCUCUAGUUCAUUUAGCUCCCUUCCCCAUUUUAAGGUCUGGUUUCCUCCCCGCUCCAUUGUGCUCCUCAUCUGUUUAUUGGUCUCACCUGUGCACAAUUCCCUAAUCACCGAGCCCUUGUGUAUAAAACCCUGUCUGCGUCACAGUGUGGUUGUUGGUCCAUUGUUUGUGUCAGCGUUGUCUCGCACCCUCUCUUGGUCUCUAGGAUUUUUUGGAUAUCUCCAGUCUGCUCUUUAAGAGAGCACUUUGUCUCUAGGUCUCUUGGUUUUCAUACUAGGAUUUUUGGAUUUUUGGUUUUGGUUCCCUGCCCUAUUGGAUUUACUUUUGGACAACCAUUCCUAAGAAAGGAUUUUUUACGUUUAUUCCAACUCCCGCCUCGUGUCUCCCUGGUUCUGCAUCUUGGGUCCUAACCUCCCCCUGCUCGCAGCGUGACAGCUUCCUGCCGAUGAAGAGACUAUUUUCCCUUUUAAUAAAAUGAUUCUUAUUUUGUCUCAUACAUCAUUUCCCAACUUUACAAGUUUUUUACAGCAACAUUCUGUUUAUCUAAAGUUAUUUAAUAAUGCCUUGACUGCUUCACAGAGAUGAAUAAAUCUACAUAAAUGUUUAUUAUUUCAGACCUUAUAUACACUAAAUGAGUCUACUUGAUGAUGUAAUGAUUUAUUAUCCGUUAUCACAUUAGUAUCAGUAUAUUAACUAAUGACUGUUUAUCUAUUCAGUUCAUAUGUUAAAUGAAAUAAGCUUUCUAAGCAUCUGAGAAAAGGGAGCGUUUGAGGACUCUUUGUAAAUGCCUACAGAAAUUUCUCAGAUCUGGUUGGUCCAAAGUUUAUAAACAACCAAUUCUUAAAGGAGAGAUCACUUCCUUUAUUCUCCAGUUCAGCCAAAGCUCUAGUUUAUGCUAAAUUACCAUCCUUUGGGGAUUAAACCAAAUCUUUCAGUGGAAUGAUUUUAGCGGUAUAAAGAACCAUCCUUUUUCAACCACUGGUUAACCACUUGCUCAAUGUACAAACAACUCAUCAGCCGUGAAACGGUCUACCUGCAGCCUGGGAGAUGAUCUCUGACCAGCUGGUGCGGAGCCAUUUUGUCUGAUAUCACCAAGCGUUGCAGAGAGGCUUUGACAUGAUGGCAAAAGAUAAGAUGGUUUCAAAAUGCUUUUUCCGCCAAUUUGGCCAAAUCGGAAGUCAGCUGGAAACAGAAUUAAUCAGGAAGUAAUUCCUGUUUUAUUGAAUCACAUUGUUGAUAAAUUUGGUAAAUCCGAAUUUGAUUCGUUUGAGGGCUUUGCCAAAAAUACCUCAGAAGUCUCUCCUUCCUUCAGAUACAAAGAUGGUUAACUCUUUGCGUGAAUGAGAAUGUUUUAACCCUCCCACUGUCUUCAUGGGUGACCCCACCGGGAAAGUUGAUCACUGAGCAGGGUUGAUGGUUUAUCCCUUGAGGUCCAUGUGGCAGGGGUGAGGAAAAGCCCCCCACAAUGCGGCUCUAAAAUUGAGUCAAACCCGGAAGUACCAAAAAUUGCAGUUCCACCCUCAUCCACUGGGGGCUGGUGUCAGAAGUGAGCAAAUCCUCAUUGACUCCCAUGUUAAAAAUACCAAUUUCACAGCAGAAAUAAACAUGUUUACAGCCUGGUACCAAAACAUGUUUUUGGUUUAAAUGAUCUAGUUUACACUCAUGACAACUCUGAGGGGGGUGAAUUUUUUUCUCACUCUUCUGUUUAAGUGUAUUAAAAGCCUAAAAUUCUGUAUAAUUAAUGAGCAUCAGACCCACGUGACCACAGAGCUAGCUCCGUGGAAAGGCUUCAGUAGAGCCUCGGUCUGGCCUGGAAACUGCUCCGGGAUAUUGAGUCUCUGUGUUUGUGUAUUCUUGUUUGGAUAUUUUUUGUGCAGUUGUUGGACAAAAUGACUUGCUGUGGUAUUAAUUGCACUAAUAGAGCUUCCAAGGAGUCUCCAAUUCAUUUUUUUCGGUAAGUAAAAUUAUAUUUAUGUAUUUUAGGUCACUGCCGAGCUGAGCUUAGAUUUUAACAUGUACUGUUUAACCAUGAAAUUUAAAUGUAAUAGGGUAAAACCCAGUGCAUUUAACAUAAUGCUGCACUUUAGAAAAUGGGUUGAAAUAUAACAUGUUGGUGGAGCUGGGUUCCGACUAUCGUCUUGUGGAGCUCUUGGGAGACCGAUGUUUUCCACCCGUUCUCCCCUGACUUCGCGGCUUCUGUUUGCUGAGCGGAAUGCCGACUUUUGGAGCUCUGGGAUGGAAACCUUUCCACCCGGUUCUCCCCAGCGGCAGCUCUGCGCAUCUCAGAUUGCAGCGGUGCCUGUCUGCUGUGCGGCUGCCGGCUUGUGGAGCUUUCGGGAGACCUCUGUAUUCCACCCGGUUUUACCCAGCGGUCAGCCCGGCGUAUCUCUGACUCAGAAGCUCUGGUGUUGUGCACAGUUAACUCCGGUUGUAGCUAGGUUGCUACCUCCGUUAGCUUAGCUCUGUCAUGAGCCGGGGUGAGUACUCCUGUUCUCAUAACCAUCUGUGAGUCUCUUGCCAGGAGAGGGAGUGGCCCAGCUGUUCCUGAUCAGCAAUUAGCGGGGUGCCUUACUAUUUAAGGUAGAUGGUGGACACACUUCGACGCCGGAAGAUUGCCUCAGUUUUGGAUUCCUGUCGACCUUCUUGGAUUCUGACCUCUACCAGGAUUUUGGAUAUUCAGCACAUGGACCAUAUCACCACCGCCAUAACCCACCUCUCAUCUCACCCAGUGCCCCAUCCACCAGGACGCCCCGCUUCUCUCCACCUCUGCUCCCUUUCCUGCGCUGCCCCGGCUCUCUACCUCUCCCUCCUCCAGCCAACACAUACACCCCCCCACAACGCUGAGCUGUUGUUGCAGUUUCAACCACAGAAUUAUCUGUGCAUUUUAAGUUCCUCCUUAUAAAUAAAUCAUGUUUUCAUCCAUUUUUGGUCAGUGUUGUAUUCUGCAUGUCUUGGGUUAAGUACCUUCCUCCAAACAUGACAAGCUCCCACCUCUGCGUUAGCUUUGGGUUAGCUUGUAGCUAGUUCGACCGGGUGUCGUCAGUUGAUUCCAGCCUUACAGCCCCACCCUCAGCUCCACCUCUCUUCCCUUUUUUGGAAUUGUCUGGGCUUGACAGAAACUGUGACACGGUCAAAAUGGCGGUGGUGGCCACCUCCCAUUUGGCCUCAAAAACGUGUUACUGGAGCAUAUGGAAAGGAGAUGUCCAGUAUAUUGUCGAUGGGUGAGGAGUGAACACCACCUCACCCCUGCUCCUCACCCCUGCCACGUGGACCUCAAGGGAUAAACCAUCAAUCCUGCUCAGUGGUCAUAUUUCCUGACGGGGUUACCCAUGAAGACAGUGGGAGGGUUAAACACUUAUGUGAAGUGGAUGUUAUUAUAAUGUGUAUGAGUAUACUGAUUAACUUGUUAAAUAAACACAUACUGAUCUGGUGUACUUAAGAUCUGAAAUGAAUCAUUGCAAGAAAGAUAUUCAUUUUAAACCCAUCAUUGAUUAAAGCACAGAUUAUUCAAACAUUUGAUUUAAACAUCUUGUUCAUUCAACACACUUGGUUAUUUCAACCUGUAAGUUGUAAAGUCACGCGGGAACUUUGAGGCGGUUGAACUUUAUUCAGAGUGAGGAUGCAGGAGUUUCUGCUGCCUGAGAAUGCCAUGUCUCAGGACUGGAGCAGGGUCCUCUGUUUUGGGCCAGACAGACGGUGUGUCUGCAAAAUGAAAGUUCAUUUCCGGCCAAUUUGUUGGUGAAAAUUUGACCACUGGUACGUUACAUCACGGGGUACCGUAUUUCUGCACAGGCGUUUGAUGGGUUAAUAUUAAUUUGAUAAAUUGUUUAACCUCAUUAAACUGUCGGAUUUAUUUUAUAAACCCAGACAUCACACCUUUCUGAUUCACUCAGUGAAGCUCUUAAAACAAACAAGGUCAUGUUGCAUCAGGGCUCAUUCAUUGUUUCCGCUGAUAUCACUUAGAAUCACCAUUUAUAAUCAUUUGCCUUACAUCAUCAUUGAUAGCAGAAAUAUAGUAACAAAUAGAUGUUAUAAACUAUAUUUUUGUCUCCGUGUCAAAUGAUUUUAAAGCGUUGUUUCCCUGGCAUUACCCAAAUGACCUAGUUUCAUCAUCAAUCGAAUAUUAAAGGCUCAUUAAUAUCGAUAAUCCAUAUUUUAUGGAAUAAUACAUUUUAUUGAAUACCUUUAUAUUCUAUUGACAAUUUAUUAAAAGCAACCAUUUACAAAACAUUACAACACAUAACUUUAGUUUCGUAACACGUAAUUCUCGUUUCGUAACACGUACCUUUGGAAUUGUAACACAUAACGUAACUUGUUUUGUAGCACAUAGUUCUCGAUUUGGAACAGUUAACUUUUCGUAUGUAACUUGAAACUUUUGUUUUUUUAACUUGCAGAAAAAGAUUAAUGUACAAAUUUUAAAUCACAACUCUUGGUCUACAGUUACAAAACUCAAGUCUACUUGUUACAAAAUAUCCGUCCCAAUUCUAGCGUCCUUUCCCAAAGAACCAAUGGCAGGCGUUGUCUGACUAGCCAAUCAUGAGUCUUGGACUCCUGUCCAAUCAUGGCAACAGAGCAAAGGUCUACUGCUCACCGUAGAUAUGUAUAUAAACAUAUGAGUGUUUAUUUACAUAUCUAUACGGCGCACAACCAAACACGCAUACGAUCUCGUUCUUUACCAGUAGGUGGCAGUAAUUCUUAGAGAAAUCAAACUGAUGUAAAUAAAGAACUUAAAUUGGCUCAUAAGACAAAACCUGCCAUUGGUUCUGUGGAAAGGAUGCAAGAAUUGGGACAAAAUGUAUUUUACAUGUAGAUUAGAAUUUUGUAACUGUGGACUGAGCUGUGUGUGUUUUGAGUUGUGAUUUGAAACUAGCACAUAUGCGUCUCAGCAAGUUACAAAAGGAAAGUUGUUACAAAACAUGAAUUUCAUGCCAAAAAACAAAAGUUAGUUAUAAAACACGAUACUUGUAAUAUUGUCCUAAUCCUUGCUGCGUAUAUUUUUAGAUAAUCAAAUGCAACUUCCUGUUGUGCAUUAGACUUUUGAAAUGUUCAUUUUAUUUUUUUCUGAAGCAUAAAUGUGUAUUUUAUUUUAAUAUUAAAAUAUACAUAUAUUUACUUUAAUAAUAAAACAAAACACGUUCUUAUCUUUAACAACCCAUCACACAUAUAAAGUACAUAUCUAUAUAUACUUACCGUAAAUCCUCCAACACAGGCCGGUAUUCAAUUAAAGGCCGGGUCUCCAAUUUUGGCCGGUGUCGGAGUCAGCGGAGGUGAAUAAUGGCCGGUCUCUUAUUGUGGCCAGGUGGAAUGUGGUAACAAGCAAGUACGGGGGGUGGUUGUGUCAUCGUCUCACUUCGUAGAGCGUCGGUACUGACACGCGAUCGUUCAUGUCGGUUCAUUUCCUUUAAUGUUUUCUAUCUUUUAUUUGCGCCUGAUGUGUUUCGCUGCAGUGGAGCGGGGAGCAUCACCUUGUCCUCCGACGCACCGAUCACUGAUGCGACCGCCAAGCAGCGAGCACUCCGCUGUUUUUGCGGUCGGUAGAUCUUUUAGAACUGCAGUUCAAAGGUAACUCAUAAGGUGAAUAUAUAUGAACCCAGGUAGCAGUUUUUCUUUAGGACUGAGAGGAGAUGCAGGAAGAUAAUAAACAGGCAGGACAGAAAAAUAGUCAAAUAAAAACAAGUUAGUUUUUGUACCUGCUGUUUGCAACAAACAGACACCAUUGAAGGUAAUCAGAAGUGAGGAACAGAAAAUGAAAUAAUUAUUUUAAUGUUUAGAGCAGCAGAACUCCGAGAGGCUGCAGGCGCAUCAGUUUGCGGCCGCUGCGCAGGGGGAGGGGGGAGAGGGCUGAAGCAGGGGGAGGGGGGAGAGGGCUGAAGCAGAAACUACCGUUGUUAAAAGAAAUGUGUUUAACUUUGAAAAUGUGGCGCAAUUUUAAUUGUCAAAAACUCCAGCGAACCAUUAGUUCAUUUUGCUCAAAUAGAAAUAGAGGCCUGCCUCUAAUUCUGGCCCUCCUUCCAAUAAAGGCCUGGGCUUGAUGAGCUUGAGUCAAAGGCCUGUAUUAGAGGAUUUACGGUAUGUAUUGAUAUUGAUGAGUGUGGUUGAUCGUGUCUGCUCCAUACGACUGCCUGCCUGCAGUGAGACACCAGGUGACAGCAGAUGCAUGUCAAUAAUGAUCUUUAAUGUCAAUAUAUACAGAACUUGAAAGAAAAAAUAGAAUUUUUAAAAUCAAAUGAAAUAAAUACAAUAUCAUACAAUUUCCACAAUGUUUUUAAGAGAUAUCAAUGGAAAUAUUCUCUUUAAUUCAGUCUCUCUGGUUUGACAGGGUGCGUCCCGUCCCCCCAGAGAAGUCCAAACACCUUCACCACAUGACCUUCGUCUUCAUCAUCAUCAUCACACGCAUUUAUUUUUUCCUACAGAUCGACACACGUUUAUUUAAACAAGACGUUUUGCUUUUUUUUACCACGUGGUUUUGCCUUCCGAUUCUUGGUGUUUUCAUAUUUCCAUUUCUUCUGUGUUGCCGAUACAUUUUCAGCAUCACAAACGAACAACCAGGGCAGUUUAAAGGGAAAUGAAACACGAGUUCUAGUCCAGACAUGCAUUUAUGUUCCCAAAAGUGCUGGUAAAUGAUUU